GUUUUUUUUUCCCUUUUCCAAUUAAGUGUUUGCAGCCAUAACUAAGACAUUUGUUAACACUGCUGCCAGUUAUUCUACUUGAUAUGAGAACCUGAUUGCUAUCUUGGAGAGACAGUCUCCAUAGGAAUUCAGAGUUCAAAGUAGCAAGACAUUGCUGCUCCAUGAGACACAAAGUUAAGACAUGAAAACUUCCAAACAUGAAUUAAAAAUUGUCAUUGAUGAAGAAUCCACGAUGAACCUUGGUAACCCAGUUCUGACUUUGGCUCUGACCUCUGACCUCAGUUCUUACUCUGGGAUCUGACUUCUGGUUCCUGAUUCUGGCUGAGAUCCUUGGCUCUGACACCUGACUCCAGACUUCUGCUCCGACCACUAGACCUUUCUCCAGAUCCAACCACUUGCUAUAAAAGAUUACAUGAAAGACCACUCUUUGGAGCAGUAUGAGUGAGCUUUUGUUCGGGUACGGAGCUGACAUCUAAACUCCCCAUCACCUGGACAGAAAGAGAGCUCCAGGAAGCCUGGCUGCUGAUCAUUUAAAACCAUCUCAGACUGUUAACAGAAGAAGAGGACACAGAACAGAUGUUUGCACUGACAGGAUAAAGUCCUGGCCUCAUUGAAGUCAACUUCACUCAUAGGAUAAAGUUAUGGAAUCUUAAAGUUCCACCUGUGCUGCAGUAGAUUUCCUGCCUGUGACGCAAAUUCUUUCAAGCAAUACUGAGAUCCUGCAAACAAAACAAAAAAGGGCGCUUCUUUCCCACAAGAAAAGGUCAAGGAUUGUAGAAUAUAAAAACAACAACACUUUAUAAACAAAAACAAAUUAUAGUCAAGGAGAUUUAUUUUUCCUUUUCAACACCAUCCUGUGCCAUAAAAUGUAUAACUGUUUUAUUUUUUCUCUUAUUUGCCUCCUAAAAAUAAUUUAGAUUUUUCUACUGAAUUUUCUGAUUAUCUGUCUACUGUUUACUUCAGCACAGAUAAAAUCAUUUUCACUGUGGAUUUUAAUUUCUCUCUCUCCUUUUUUUCCCAUGGCUGCUGAGUUCUUUUUAAACUCUUUUAGAUUGUUUGAUUUUUUUUUUCAAGCAAUUAAUUUUUUUUCUCCUCAUGAGCCUGGGAUGUGCUUUGGAGCUUUUAAUCCCAUGUGGAUUAAACCUCUUAAAUUUAAA